rnacentral:rRNA from 1 species
CCUACGGGGGGCUGCAGUGGGGAAUAUUGCACAAUGGGCGCAAGCCUGAUGCAGCCAUGCCGCGUGUGUGAAGAAGGCCUUCGGGUUGUAAAGCACUUUCAGCGGGGAGGAAGGCGGUGAGGUUAAUAACCUCAUCGAUUGACGUUACCCGCAGAAGAAGCACCGGCUAACUCCGUGCCAGCAGCCGCGGUAAUACGGAGGGUGCAAGCGUUAAUCGGAGUUACUGGGCGUAAAGCGCACGCAGGCGGUCUGUCAAGUCGGAUGUGAAAUCCCCGGGCUCAACCUGGGAACUGCAUUCGAAACUGGCAGGCUAGAGUCUUGUAGAGGGGGGUAGAAUUCCAGGUGUAGCGGUGAAAUGCGUAGAGAUCUGGAGGAAUACCGGUGGCGAAGGCGGCCCCCUGGACAAAGACUGACGCUCAGGUGCGAAAGCGUGGGGAGCAAACAGGAUUAGAUACCCCAGUAGUC